rnacentral:rRNA from 1 species
AGCGAACGCUGGCGGCAGGCUUAACACAUGCAAGUCGAGCGGGCACUUCGGUGUCAGCGGCAGACGGGUGAGUAACACGUGGGAACGUACCCUUCGGUUCGGAAUAACGCUGGGAAACUAGCGCUAAUACCGGAUACGCCCUUUUGGGGAAAGGUUUACUGCCGAAGGAUCGGCCCGCGUCUGAUUAGCUAGUUGGUGGGGUAAUGGCCUACCAAGGCGACGAUCAGUAGCUGGUCUGAGAGGAUGAUCAGCCACACUGGGACUGAGACACGGCCCAGACUCCUACGGGAGGCAGCAGUGGGGAAUAUUGGACAAUGGGCGCAAGCCUGAUCCAGCCAUGCCGCGUGAGUGAUGAAGGCCUUAGGGUUGUAAAGCUCUUUUGUCCGGGACGAUAAUGACGGU